UCGUCGGCGUUUGAAAGAAUCAUAAUUUAAAAAAAGAAAAAUGGAGAAAAAUGUAUUGGAAAUAAAGAAUGAGGUUGAUAGAUUUUUGUUUGAUCCAUGUGAGGAUGUGGAGAGUGAGAAAUUUGAUAUUUUGGCUUGGUGGAAAAAUAAUUGCACAAAAUAUCAAAUUUUAUCUCAAAUUGCAAGAGAUGUAUAUGCCAUUCCAGUUUCUACAGUAGCAUCUGAAUCUGCAUUUAGUACCGGAGGACGUAUUCUUGAUGCAUUUCGAAGUUCAUUGGGUCCAAAGAUGGUGGAGGCUUUGAUUUGUUCACAAAAUUGGUUGAAAUCAAAUCCUAUGAGAUAUGAUUAUAGAGUUGAAGUACCAAUUGAGGAUGUUGCAUAUUAUGAUUCUAUUGAAUCAGGAGCAUCUUGUGUUACAAAACAAAAUCUACCUCCAUCUAAUUGAUCUAUGAUUGCUUGGAUGAAUGGAAUAUGGCUUUGCAUGGCAUAUUGUGAUAAUGGGAUUGUGGUUGAUGGUGGUUGCUCAUGGAAUGAAGUGUGUGGAAGAAGACUAUUUAAAAUAAUUUUUAUUUUUAUGUAUUGUUAGUUUAUUAAAUUCUAAGUUAAUUUUGAAGUUUAAGAUAUCAAAUAUGGUUGUAUUCUAUUUUAUAACUAAUAUUGGUUGUAAACUUGUUGGAGAAUUUAUUUGUUGUUGUAUGAUGUAUUUGUAUAAUUAGGUGAUAGCUAUAAACUUGUAUUGUAGUUGUAUAGUUUUAUGUUGUAUUAUUUCACAUGUUUGAUGCUUAA